rnacentral:rRNA from 1 species
UACGUAGGGGGCAAGCGUUGUCCGGAAUUAUUGGGCGUAAAGGGCGCGUAGGCGGCCAUGCGUGUCUUCCGUGAAAUCCCUCGGCUUAACUGAGGACGUGCGGAAGAAACUGCAAGGCUUGAGUCCGGGAGAGGGGGUGGAAUUCCCAGUGUAGCGGUGAAAUGCGUAGAUAUUGGGAGGAACACCGGUGGCGAAGGCGGCCCCCUGGACCGGUACUGACGCUGAGGCGCGAAAGCGUGGGUAGCAAACGGG